UUUAAAUGUAAAAUUUAAAUACUAAAUUAGUAAUAGUUAUGAUCUUAAAAUUUAAAAAUUUUGGCGGUAUUUUAGUCUAUUCAGAGGAACCUGUUCUAUAAUCGAUAAUCCACGAUUAAUUAUACUUAAAUUAUUAAUUUGUAUAUCGUUGUUUUAAAAAAUUUUAUAAGAAAAAAAAUUUUUAAUAUUUUAUAUAAAAAUAUAAAUCAAAUCAAGGUGCAGUUUAUAUUUAAGAAGAAAUGGGUUACAAUAAAUUUAUUUAAAUGGAAUUAUUAAUAAAAUUUAAUAAGGAAAGUGGAUUUGAUAGUAAUAUAAAUAAUUUAAUUAAUAUGAUUUUAGCUCUAAAAUAUGU
rnacentral:rRNA from 1 species